ACGAACGCUGGCGGCAUGCCUAACACAUGCAAGUCGAACGGGAUCCUGGCUUCGGUCAGGUGAGAGUGGCGGACGGGUGAGUAACGCGUGGGAACCUGCCCAGUGGUGGGGGAUAACUGCGGGAAACUGCAGCUAAUACCGCAUGAGCCCGAGAGGGGAAAGAUUUAUCGCCAUUGGAGGGGCCCGCGUUCGAUUAGGUAGUUGGUGAGGUAAUGGCUCACCAAGCCGACGAUCGAUAGCUGGUCUGAGAGGAUGAUCAGCCACACUGGGACUGGGACACGGCCCAGACUCCUACGGGAGGCAGCAGUGGGGAAUAUUGCGCAAUGGAGGCAACUCUGACGCAGCGAUGCCGCGUGGGUGAAUAAGGCCUUAGGGUUGUAAAGCCCUUUCAGUGGGAAAGAUGAUGACGGUACCCACAGAAGAAGCCCCGGCUAACUCCGU
rnacentral:rRNA from 1 species